rnacentral:lncRNA from 1 species
AUUGAAGAGUCCCAAACCAGUGGGACUCUUGACCCUGGUACCCAAAAUGUGUGGGACUCAUGAUCAGAGAAUCCUGAUUCUCGAUCACAGAGUCCCAGACAUGUAGGACUCAUAGUCCAUGAGCAUUAGGACUCUUCAUCAGCCAUCAGAUCAGAUAGGAACCUCUAAUAUGUGUGACCCCGCAGGUUCAAACCUAAGCCGGUAGCACAGGAACCAAUUCCUGUACUAAUCGAAGUGACCAUCUAGCAAUGGUACCCGAUGAUCGGAUAGGUCAAAUAGUCAUAAUCACAAUACUCAGAACCUACGUGAAUAUGGUUACUGUAUAAUUCAUCCUUUUGACCUCUGUGUUUAGGACGACUCAGAGCUAAACUGUCCACCCUGGUUAGAUCAUCCGAAUCGUGCUCAACUCAAAUAGUCCUGUGACUCCUCACAAAGACUACCCUGACCAAGGUUUUGCUAAAUUGAAACAUGACUAUACACAGCUCCUAAACUGGAGUGGUCAAUCCCAUCUUGACACACGCACCGACAAGUCAAGUACUUGACUACACCCAGUAGCCUUCCGUCACUGAAUUAGAAAUUCAGGUAGUCCAGUGCCUAAGUGCAGUGAGUUGCUUGCAAGUCACCAUGGCGGUCUCAGGUCAGAGGGAUAUUUAUACUCAUAUUCCAUCGGAGCAAAUCUUGACAGCAGAAAUAGCUCCGGAGUCGGUCACGUUCAGUGCAGAUGUACCCUUAC